GUUAAAAAGCUCGUAGUUGGAUUUCUGUGUGAGAGGGACGGGAAGGCGCAAGCGUUUUUUCUGACCUUUUGCACAUCCUGUCGCAAACCACGGUGCUCUUUACUGUAGUGUCGUCGGGGAUCGACUCGUUUACUUUGAGAAAAAUAGAGUGUUCAAAGCAGGGUAUGCCUCUGAAUAAGUUAACAUGGAAUAAUGAUAAAGGACUUCGGUUCAUUUUGUUGGUGUUUGGGACUGAAGUAAUGAUUGAUAGGGACAGUUGGGGGCAUCAGUAUUCAAAAGCGAGAGGUGAAAUUCUUAGACCUUUUGAAGACUAACCGCUGCGAAAGCGUUUGCCAAGGAUGUUCCCUUUGAUCAAGAACUAAAGUUUGGGGAUCGAAGACGAUCAGAUACCGUCGUAGUCUGAACUAUAAACUAUACCAGCUAGGGAUCGGCCGGCGUAAUAUUUAAGGACUCGGUCGGCACCUUAUGAGAAAAUUAAAAGCAUUUGGGUUCCGGGGGGAGUAUGGUCGCAAGGCUGAAACUUAAAGGAAUUGACAGAAGGGCACCACCAGGUGUGGAGCCUGUGGCUUAAAUUUGACUCAACACCGGGAAAACUUACCAGGUCCAGACUUAGUUAAGGAUUGACAGAUUGAGAGCUCUUUCUUGAUCUUAUGGGUGGUGGUGCGUGGCCGUU
rnacentral:rRNA from 1 species